CUCCGGGGAUCAGCGGCGAACGGGUGAGUAACACGUGGGCAACCUGCCCUCAGCUCUGGGAUAACUCCGGGAAACCGGGGCUAAUACCGGAUACGACUUCCUGCGGCAUCACGGGAAGUGGAAAGUUUUUCGGCUGAGGAUGGGCCCGCGGCCUAUCAGCUUGUUGGUGGGGUAACGGCCCACCAAGGCGACGACGGGUAGCCGGCCUGAGAGGGCGACCGGCCACACUGGGACUGAGACACGGCCCAG
rnacentral:rRNA from 1 species